CCUGGCUUCCAGGCUUCCUCUCUAGAUGCAGAUCCCCUUCUCUCCCUUGGUGUAAUGGUAACUUUUCAGCCUAGCUGUCUCGGUUUCUUUUGAACAUCAGACUAGAUGCAUGCACAAACAGAUCAAUAUUUUUGGGCCUUAUAGGUCAUCUGCCAUGGUCAGAGCAGGGGGCGGGAAGGGGGACCAGUUACAGAUUAUAAACUUGUAUGCGUAUAGUGCAAACCCAGAAGAAUAAAAAAAAAAAAAAAUACCAGCGCACGCUGCUGAAGUUAAUUCGAAUAUUCAAUUGCAUGGAAGGAGUAUUGAAACCGGAGAACAGAGCCUUCACGCUUGCCUUUCUUGCUCGUAUGUAGCGAGAGGAUCCGACAGAUGAAGCUGGGUCCAGAAGAGAGAAUAAUAUACCGAUAUCGUCUGGAAAUAAAGCAACUCAGCUCCCUUUCUUAGGUGUGUCCAGGGAACUUUUUUAUUUAUACAACAAUCCUGGGUAGAGUCUGGUUUACCAAAUUUAGUAGCUUCCUUCUGGGUUUGUCCCUAAGGCACAUAGGAGAGAAAGCAGCCUUCAAGAUUGAAAGCUCUCCAGCGGUGGGCAAGUUUGGCUCCGAGCACGUGAACUAUAAUCACCAUGCUGCAGCUUCUAGCGGGGCAUUGGAACCAUGUCCUGGAAACUGCAGAUAUUUGUUGGGAAAGUACGACGUGUACAUUCGCUGCUCCUUCAGUUUCCGAGUCGGCCCCUUACGAUGAUAGCUCCUGUCUCACUGAUGUCAGGAGGCAUCGUGUGUGCAAAAAGAUUGUCCUCCGAAAAUUUUUGUUAGUCAUCCUUGGAGCCAAGACUUUGGAGUUGGCAGGAAUUGAAGACAUCCUGGGAUUCAGCAGCCAAGGAAGGAGAAUCAGUAUCUGAAUCAGUGUCUCCUGCGAACUAUGCAAAAUUGUAGUUAGGAAUAUUCUCAAAAUAUUCUUCUGAUGUUGCUUUCUGCUUGGAUAGCUAGCAUCCUUCAUUAAUGUGUUUGCUCACUUCAUUCUUGUCUGCCACUGGAUGGACAAAUGUUACAAGUUGGCUGAAUCUUCAUGUUGCAGAUCCACCUGAACACCAGCUAUCCCCUAAAUCUUGCAGGUCUUUGCUCCCGUGUUUGCUUGGGGCUCAGGAGAGAAGCACCUGACUUUCCAUAUUUUCAAGUUAUUUGUGCCAGAGUAUUUGGAAAGACUAUUUAAUUAUCAAGAUCAGAUGUAGUUUAGUUUAGCUGGCACAACACCUUCCAGAAAUUUCUGCAAUCUCUGUAUUUAGUAAUGUUAAACAUUUUGUCUUAAAUGUUAUUAGGAUAAACAGAAUUACAUGUGGACCACAAAUGAGAUAUAAACAUUCUCAUCUACUUGAUAUAUUUUUGUAAUAUAUAUAUAUAUAUAUUCCCUGAUAUCUAUCUCCAAAAUAUUCUUAAUGUUGAGAAUGUAGUAUUGGAAAAAGGACUCAAGAAACCCACCUGCUUUUAUGUUUUUGUUCUAUUUUAUUAAGCAUUACAUAGCACAUUGUGGUAAUUUUAAUAAGAUGCCCCCACCCAUACACACAUAAACUCAUGUGUUUUGAAUAUUUGAUCUCCAGUUGAUGGACAACUUGGGAAAAGAAGUCUUGCUGAAGAAGGUGUGCCACUGUGGAGCUGGAGAGUGGAUCUCGAAGUUUAUUAACCCCUAGAUUUCCAGAGUUAGUUCUAUUUUUAAAAUAUUUAUUUAUGUAUUUAUAAAUACACAAAUGAAUGUACACAUACACACGAGCAAGACAGAAUGAAUGCUUCAGUGAAUGAAGGAAUAAAUAUGGACAUGUCAGGGCCUCUUCCUGCUACAAAUGAAAUCCAGACUCAUGGGCUACUUUGUGCUACUGGCUUUAUGUAGAUAUUGGGGAACUGAACCCAAGCAAGUGCCUUUAACCACUCCUAGCUAACACUUUUGCUGCUGUUGUUCACCUGCUGUGUCUAAAAGCUUAUGCUCUGGUCUUGUGAUCCCUGGUUUUGAAUCUGAUUCCAUUACUUUCAGAAUGUAUGAUUGUGACUCUUAGGUUUUGUUGUCAACUUGAUCAGAUUAGAAAUCCAGUAAGAGCCUUGCCUCUCCAGCAUAUCUGUGAGAGUACUUCCUGGAAGGAUUGAUAUAGGGCAGAAAAUCUGCCAACAGAAACUCUGGUGGUAGACUUUAUGUAAAGUAUCCCCAGGGAUGUUUGCUUGGCUGCCCAUGCUGCUUGCUGGUGUGUGUAUCUACCCAGUGCUUCUAUCCUUCAUGGACAUUGGAAGCCAACUUCAUCAGCUUUCCAAUGGCCGUGGAGGAAUCCUUCAGUUCCAAACUUGGACUGCUGAGGCAUCCAGCCUCAUGGACUGAGGUGCUUCUUUCUGGAUUUUCCUGUUCUCCAGCCUACAGACAGCCAUUGUUGGGCUGCCCAGCCCAUAUGCUGUAAACACAUCUAGUAAAUCUCCUUUAUAAUACAUCUUCAUUCUAUUGGUUCUUUUUCCCUGGAGAACCCUGAUUUGCAGAGUUUGUGAUACCAGGAGAGGUUCUAGGAAAAGAAAACUAUAAGAAAGAAUUUUUCUAGUGAGCAUGGCAUAAUCUGGAGCUGGCUCUUCAAAAUGUAGCACUAUGAAAGACUCUGUAGGUAGUAAGGAGAUCACUCAUAAUCCAUGAUGUUAACUAUUUAUUCAUUUUAUUUGACUUUAAUUUUUGAUUCAAGGUGUCACUCUCAGGCUAACCUAGAACUCACUUUGUAGCCCAGGAUGGCCUCAAACUAAUGGUGAUCCUCCUACCCCAGUUCUUGAGUUUUGGGAUUAUAAGUGUGUGCUAUAAUGCCCAAUUUUUUAACUUUAUUUAUUUAUUUUUUGUUUAACAAUUUGAAGAACUAGUCAAAAUAGAUGUAUUUGAUGACCCUGAUUUACCUCUUGUGAAGAGCAAGAAAUUUAGUAACUUUGUAUAUAAAACUUUUGAAUAUUUGUGAAAAAAUGUGAAAUAUCAUAAAGCUGGCCAUUUGCAUUUAGUAUGCUUGGAUAAAGUAAAAAGACAAAAGAAGAAGCUGAGAUAUGAAGUUUCCCAGUUCAGAAUGUGGGUAAAAAUUGAAAUGUUUCUAAGUAUGCCCUAGAAGCAACUAUUCUGUCCAGCAUCUAUAGGGGCUCAAGUUGCAGUAAACCAAGCUCAAGGCCUUAUCAUACAAUUGACUCACUUAUAAUGCAAGGGUAAUUAAUGUGGGGACACUGAUUGGAAAUGAGUGAGUUUCUGUAAUUCGGAACAGACAUAUGUUGCAAGUCUCUGAUGAAGCUGAAGGCCCUGAACUUAGAUUCUGAUGGGUUUAUUUUGUCUGAGGAAGUAGCAUCUCUAUGCUUAGCAGUGGAAGUAUCCACUCCCAGCAAUGCUGCCUUGUCAGCCUUUGCCUGAGAGAAUUAUUCCUGCAAUUUCUGGACCCAACAGUGACUUUUCCUGACACAGAUGCCAAGUAGGACAAUGGUGAUGCCCCUCAGUGUCUACCCACUUUCCUCUUCAGACCUAUAACCAUACUUAAGGUUAAAUAGGCCACUAUAGGUGAGUUAGAAAGUGUGACUCACAAGGAGGGAAUGAACUUUUAUGAGUUUUAUUUUUUUUUUUAACUCUGGAGAAUAUAUGAGGAAAUCAAUUUUAUGGGUAUUGGAUAAUGGAGGAAGGAGCAUAAAACUAGAUUGUACUGAAUUUAUCAAUAUGGACUCAUUGAGCAGAGGUUCUAAGUUUAAUAAUGCAGUUACAAAGGUGGCAAGAAUUUAUUUGAGUGGUUGGCUAAAGUGUGGGUCAAAAGAUGGCCACCUAGAGCUGCCUUAUAUACCUUGGCUUAAUCUUGAUGAUGGGAUUAAAAGACUCAGAGAAACUGAAAUGCUAGAGUGGAUUUGCAUGUAAAAACUCAUCCUUAUGGGAGGACACAAAAGUUGUGCCCUUCAGUAGCACUGUAAAAAGAGGAUUUGUGAGGGGCACACCAGCAUACUUGAAAAGCUUAGUCAUUGCUCUUCCAUUUAAUGCAGAUCUGACAGUGGGAGACACUGUUGCUGAAUUAGAUGAUUUAUGUACAGUAAGUAAGCCUGGAUCCUGAAGUCAUUAGUGACAAGUGGCAGCACUGAAUCAUCAAAGACAGCACAAGCAAAGCAACGUUCAUAUGCUAUCACUUGUGUGCACCUUUGGUACUAGCCAAUCAAUCAUAGUAUUCCCAGAAGUGAAAUCAAUAGGAAACCUAGUAAGUUCUUGCUAGACCUGUCUAAGCAGAAAAGUUUCAGAGAAAAUGAAUGAAAGGCUGUUUUGAAUCAUGGUAACUGAGAACCAUGGUCACUUAGCUGAUUUCCAGACUUAAGCUAGUUUAUAAGGACUUAGAACCCCUCAUGAAUGGAAGGCCAGUUUCCCUUGAGGAAGGACACUCCAAUAAUCUCAAAAAAUUUUAAUAUUAGAUGAGAUCGGGCAUGUUCAGGGUGGUAUGGCCAUACACUGGUGCUAAUUUUAC